rnacentral:rRNA from 1 species
CCCGGGCCUUGUACACACCGCCCGUCACACCAUGGGAGUUAGUUUUACCCGAAGACGGUGCGCUAACCGCAAGGAGGCAGCCGGCCACGGUAGGGUCAGCGACUGGGGUG